CUCCAAUUGAAUUGAUUCAUUUUAACCCAACCCCACGUCCCAUUGCCAGCAAACUAGACCAAACAAUUAUGGCAUCUAAAUACAUGUGUUUCAUAAAGAAUAUCAAAAAGAUAAGAUAAAGUUUCAGCAGCCAAAUACUCUAAAUGAAGAUCAAUUGGUGUAACUUAUUAUUGAUUUAAACUAAUUUAACCCCAAGAGUCCUCAUCUCGUCUUAAUUCAAUUCAUACGGCCCAUUUCCAUUAAGUCUAAUCUAUACUCAUCAGAGUUCUACUCAUAAAUAUUUUUCAUCCACUAAUUUAUACUUGUAUUUAGCACAUCCAAAUAAUUAAGAAGGAAGCAUCAUAUCAUUCCAUCCUAACAUAUAAAAAUAAUCAGCAUAAAUAGAAGAGAAAGAGACAAGAUGGACUUUAGCAAACUUUCCCUUUCUGAUUUGAUUAAAAUUGAUCCCAUAAACAAUGAAGCUUAAUCCACGAUUUGAGAAACAAACAGGGAUAGAAAUGGUAACAAUGAACCCGAAAUAAGAAACAUAUCGGCGACGCCAAGCGGAACGCUGAACGAUGACCUCAACUAUUCCUAACAACCCAGCUCCAAUACAACUUAGCAGAAAAGGAUUUCAAAUCGUCUAAUCGGCUCUUCGCCGUCUCUGUAAUUUGUUGUUCUUUAUAUUUAUCUUUUCGACUGUGUGUGUGGGUGGUGCCACUGACUUUGGAUGGUGUACGGCUGAUAGGAGUAUUGAUUGACGGUGGAGGUUGGUUCGUUUUUGGCGUGAGGGGCAGCUGGGAGGGGUCCAGCUGGUUGUGGUUGUUAGUGUUCUGAUUGAAGAAGAAGAAAAGGGUCAGCGGCUGUUGUUGUCGGAGAAAAUAGAGAUGGCAUAAGAGAGAUGGGGUUUUCACUAGUUUGGUGAGAGGUCCAGAAGCAGCGACGACUGUGGAGGGGUUCUUGCUGCAGCUGGUCCGGUGGCUGUGAGGGUUCAGAGGUGAUGAGGGGUCUGCGACUGUUAGAGCUCUAGGCGGACUCGUCUAAAAAUGGAGGGACAGCUGGAGAUUUUUGGGUGUGUGGAAUUAGGGUUCAGCUAGGGGUCUUCUAGUGUGUGCUCCCUCAAGUUGAAGAAGAAGGUGUCCUACUAGGUUAUAGUUAGGUCUAAUGAGGUUAUGGGCUAAGGAAAUGAGCCGUUCACUUUGGGCCCUUAUGGCCAGAUUUGUGCUUAAAAUGGGCUUAAUUAAUCAGAAAUCUAUCCACUCCACAUUAACUAUUGCCUAUAAAAUAAAAACAAAGAUAAAAAUAUUACUAAAAUAUUAAUUAGCCCGAUUUAAGUAGAAAUAACUAUUAAAAUAAAACUAACCGUUAAAAUAAAAUUAUUUUUGGUAUUUUUUAAGAUUAUAUAAAAAUAGAAAUCCUAGUAAAAUAGUAUGACUACAAAACAUUAAUGAAACUAUUUUUGUAAUUUUUGUUUUUGUGAUAAAAUAAAGUAAAAGAGUCAAAACUAGUUAAAAUAACGAUAUUAGACCUAAACUAAAUAUUUAAACGCUAAAAUGUGUAAAAUCACAUGGAGGGUCAAAAAUUACAUGUCAACAUUUGCCCCUCUUUGAUUGAAAAUGCGAAGAGUUUUCAGACAAAGAACGACGAGAUAGGUUUUUUGACCUGACCUUAUUUAGAGAGACCAAAAACUAAAAGACAGGAGAAUGUGACGAGCCCUAGUAUCUGAGCUGCCUACUUAUCCUUGGCUAUAUGGUAAUCAGGCCACGUGUAGUUCAGAAGUAGGAACAGUGAUGGAGUGUACCGAGGUGGAGAGCCGAUUGAGGUGUCGUCGAUGUCUUCUAAUCUUAGGAGAAAGAUUCAUCAGACUAGGUUUUCUAAUCUUAGGAUAAAGAUUUAUUAGACUAAGAUUUUGAUCCCAGGAGAAAAUUCAUCAUACUAGGUUUCUUAUCUUAGGAGAAAGAUUCAUCAGACUAAGAUUUCUUGUCCUAGGAGAAAAUUCAUCAGACUAGGGCUCUUAUCUUAGGAGAAAAAUUCAUCAGACUAAGAUUUUUAUCCUAGGAGAAAGUUCAUCAGACUAGGUUUCUUAUCUUAGGAGAAAAAUUCAUCAGACUAAGAUUUUUAUUUGGAGGAAAAUCCAUCAGACCAGGACUUUUUAUCCUAGGAGGAAAAAUGUGAAGAGCGAUGACAACAUUUUAUGCACACUAGCAAGACAGGCAAGGGCAAAUAUUUGAGAAACUUCCCUUUGUCAGCUCUUCUCUUCUUCUUCUUCUUUUCUUUUUUUUUUCUUUUUUUUCUUUUUUUCUUGUUUUCGAACCAACUUAUAUUGCUGUUAUUUUGUUAUUUUAUGUUAUGUUAUGUUAUUUUAUAUUUUAUGUUAUUUUAUUAUAAGCCUAUUGAUAGUACUAACAUAUUAUCUCUUGUUACUUUCUUGAGCCGAGGGUCUCCUGGAAACAGCCUCUCUACCCCUCGGGUAGGGGUAAGGUCUCCGUACCUAUUACCCUCCUCAGACCCCACUUGUGGGAUUAUACUGGGUCGUCGUUGUUGUUAUUGUUGUUGCUUGCAUUGUUUUGUUCCUAUUUCAAACAACUAAAACUUAUAAGUUUAAAUGUGAUGGUUAGUUUGUGUCCUUGACCUUGAAGGCGGCUGCUUCUGCACUUGCCAAGAUAACUUUGAUUUUAACUUGGAAGACCUUGCCUGUUAUCGACUACCCAUUUUCUUUCAACCCUUAUCAUAGAAAACACCUCUGCUCCAUUCGAUCCCAAUAUCCUCUAUUUGUUGCAUUUUGCUCAUGAAUUGACAUUUACUGAACCCUUGCAUUUUACAUGAAUCCCAACGCAUGUUGAUUGUUACCAACUCAAUGCGCAUACCACUUUUCCCUGACUUAUGCCACUUUGAUGUGCUAGCCAAAUUCGUUUUGUGCAAUUGGAAAGCUGGUAGCAAAUUUUGAAGUCAUUUCUCACUUGUUCUGACCAAACAAACUCAAGAAGGGACUCAAACAAAACAAGAGAAACAAAAUAAGGGACAAGGGAAAGAGAUGAUACCUAACAAGAAAAUUACAAAGUAGAAACUUAUCAGAUGUGCAUACCAUCUCUAAUAACCAUGACAUGCACCUUUGGAUUAAGUGGCCUAAUCUCUCAAGCAAGUCUAAUAUUCAACUCUUAUUGUACCUCUUCGCUGUGAAACUGGGCUUCAAUGCUUCAAUUGUCCCAUCUGAUCCACAAUCAUCAGUCGACUUGUACUGCCCUGAAGGGUUUUCACCAUCAAGCCUCUCUCAUUUUGCUCUUUUCUCAACUCAUUGUCGCCUUACGGUGCCCAUAAGGGUUUUCACCGAUAAGACUCUCUCAUUUUAUCAUUUUCUCUCUUUGUGCUGAGAACAAGGUAUUACCCAUGAUAUAAGAAGAUCAUACUUUUACCACACACUUUAUUUGGCAUCCUCAAAGAUUGGUCGAAAGGUCUUUUUUUGGACCGUAAUGUAGGCUUUUGGACAGGGUUAGAAAGAAAGGGUGACAUGAAAGCUGAAAAUAAUUUAAGAUGAAAUUACAACUUUUGGAAUCAGAUCUUUUGGCCAAAUUAAACUUCUGCCCCAGUUUUUUGGAGUUUGGGGAAUUGUUUUAGGAUUGUUUUUGUCUUGAUGAGAUUUCUAAGAAAAUCUGCCCCAUUCUUGAUUUCGGGGGAUUAUGAAAUACUUUACUUGGUGUGACUGAACCGUAAGGCUGCCUACAUAUCUUGAGAUGACAAGAAUCAGGUCGAAAGUAGUUCAAAAGACAAAGUUGUUUUUUUUUUCCUUUUUUUUCUUUUUUCUUUUCUUCUUUUUUUACCUUCUUUAGUUCCUAACUCUAUUUCUGAUUCCAAAAGAGGGGUAUGAAACAAGAAAUUAGGGCUCAAAAGGGGUAGCAAAGGAUAAAAGUGUUUGGGUAGCAGAAUAAAAUGUCUUCGCCGUACCAAACUUAAAAAUGCCAAGUACAAACAUGCAACUGAAGAUAAACAAACAAAUCACACAUAGUAUCUAUUGAUGGCAUCAACACAAACAAAAAGUGCCAAUGGGCAAUACCUUUGUCCCAAUGAAUGAACCUUGCUAGUUCGAACCAGACUUGACUCAAACUUAUCUUGAUGUGGAAGAAUGCAUUUCAAUACUCACUGAUCUACCUCAAACUUUUGAGCGACAUUUUCGUGUUGUAUGAUCUUAUCAACAUCUUGAUUUCCCAGACUAACUGCCUCAGUUUCACUUAAUUCAAGCUUUAGGAUAUCUCAGAAUGCGUGAAUCUUUGCUUGUUUCCUCAAAUGCAUCUUCGUAUCAUAUUUAGAACUGUGUCAUUGCUUCAUGAUUAGACUAACUUUCAAGACCAAGCUGAGAAUUAUGCGUGCAUGUCAUAUCACUAGAGUCGGCAUGAAAAGAACUAUAAAAGGAAAAAUGACAAAAACUGACUAGAAUUAACAGAAAUAGAAGAUCACAUUAGACAAAUGGUGAAAAGGGUUUGAACAGAACAAGCAAAAUAGACAUGGGUUACAACCCUGGAACAAACCUAGAUAAUACUAGACGAAUUACCACAACUAAACGAACUAGGCAAAAUAAGAAGAAAAAGGAAGGUUUGAGCCACAAGACAAUAUCCGGAUAACAACCCUGAAAUAAUCCAGAAAACAGAAAUGACAACAAAAUAAACCACCAAAACUCCUCCAUGACUGGCCAAGAAAGGAGUGUCUUUCCAAUUACCAAGCUCAACAUCUUAGCCACUGGAUUGCACAUCGAAAUUAUUGGGACCUUCACCAGUUUCAAUAUCAUUAACUUCAGUCAGCAAGUUCCCAAGAGAAUUCUCAUACUCCUUGUCACUACGCAUAUUCCCCACAAAGUGUGCAUCAUCAUGUGCAGGUAAAUAAUUUUGCACGAUGUUCUAGGUGUCACUGUCCUGGAUCACAAUUAUCCCUUCUUGAAUCAUUCUUUCUAUUUUUCUUUUCAAAUCCCAACAACUUUCGAAGGGUCAAAGCUUCUUGCACGCGGGUCCACAUGAUUCGGAGGAAUAAGUGCAAUCAGGUCAUAAUGCUUCAAUUUCUCAAACAAGCUUGCACAGGAAUCUCCUAUCGGUGUAAAGUUAUCUUUCAAACUUUGUUUACCUCUAUACCCCUGGCUUAGAUGUGGGUUAUGGGCACCUGAAAAUUUUGUGAAGUCUAGUAGAGAUUUUGCGGUGCUGCCGCUCGCCUUCUAGGGUGUCUUGGUGGCUAGACAACAUACUGGGGUGGAGCAACAGAGUAUUGUGGGUUCUCAGGGGGAAUCGUCAAAAAACAAAUGAGGUUGGUCAUGCCUUCGAGAUGUUCUUCUAGGACCUCUUCUCGACCUUGAUGUCAUCAUGAUUUCUUCAACCUUCUCACUCAUGCCACUAAAAUUACCAGAUUCAAUUUGGACAGCCUGAGUUGCAGCUUUGAGAGCUGCUUGACUUAUAAUUUUGCCUAUCUUAAGGCCAUUCUCUACCAUUUCUCCCAUUUUGAUUACUUCCGAGAAUGAUUUUCCAAUUGCGGACAUCAUGUUUUAAAAGUAAUCGGGCUCUUGAGCUUGAAGGAAGACAAUGAUUAGCUCGUGGUCAUCCAUGGAUGGCUUAACUCUAGCUGCUUGUUCUCUCCAUUUAAUGACACACUCCCUGAAACUUUUAGUUGGUUUCUUCUUUAUAUUUGAGAGGGAAUGACGGUCCGGGGCGAUGUCAAUAUUGUAUUGGAACUGUUUGACAAAGGCCUGGGCCAUGUCUCCCAGACAUACCAGCGACAUGUGUCUUGACCCAUAAACCAUUCGGAGGCUACACCCGUAAGGCUUUCCCCAAAAUAAUCCAUCAGUAAUUCUUCAUUUCCUCCCACACCUCUUAGUUGAUUGUAAUACCUUUUCAGGUGGGCUAUGGGGUCUCCAUGUCCAUCAUACUUUUCAAAUUUGGGAGUCUUGAAACCAAGUGACAAAUGAAUAUCGGGGAACAUACAUAGAUCCUUGAAGGCAAUACUCUUUUGACCUGCCAGUCCUUGUAUGUUUUUCAACUGUUGUUCCAAGCUUUUCAGUCUUUGGGUUAUUUCUUCCUAUGCUAUUUUUCGGGAAGGUUUCUCAAUCUUUGCAGGAAGAUCAAAUAGGUAAGAGUGGUACUCAGGAGAGUGGUAUUGUCCUUGAUGGGUAGCAAAUUGUGACUCAUGAGUUUUCCUCGGCACCACUGCUGGUUGUGGGAUGGUGAAGACAUGCAUAGCUGUAGUGGUUGUCUGAUUGGUUGUCAAUGGCACACUUUGGGAGUACAAAAUAGAAGUUCCAGCUAUAGUCGUGCAAUUGGGAUAAAAACUGAACCUAAAUGGAUAGAAUUGAUUGGACAAUGAAACCGGAGUGGUAGUAGCCGAGAUGGGUGUAAACUCUGGGAAAACAUAAGAACGGGGUGGUCCUUGACCAUUGGCCCAUGCUUGACACAUUUCAGACAUUUGUUGUUUCAGCCUUUGGACCUCCUCGUUCAAUUCAGAUUCUGACUCCACAAUCUCCCUCGAGGGGUCGACAACUCCUGUAUCCAAGUCUUUGCUAACCAUGGCUUCCUUGCUUUUUGACCUUGUGUUGUAUGGAUAAAUCACCAAAGUUUCACAAACUAACCACCCUCUAUUAUAAUGAAAGUAACAAAGUGGAGCAAAACAAAGCCAACAUGUUAGCGUUAGGACAUUUAUCAGAUAGAAAUAUCACAUUGCAUACAAUGCCCCUAACAAUAAUUAACGGUUCUAGAAUGACUUUGAGGGUCACAAGGUCAUUUGGCAUCAUCCCAAUUUUGUUCAUUUCAACCUUCUCUUUUCUUUCUUUUCUAGCACUUCUUGGCUUGCUCAUUUUCCUUCAUCUCUUUUUCUUUCCUCAUUUCUCACAUCCACAAUUUCAUCACUUUUUUCUUUUUAUUUUUCUCUUUUUUUUAGUUUUCAAAAAAAUAAUUUGAUCUAACCCUAUGUAGGUUGCUUACGUAUCAUGUCCCUCAUCAAUCAGAUCAAACAUAGUUCUGGAAAAGUAAUGGACAUAAUAAACUAAGAAACAAAAAUCUUUUUGGGAUUCUUCAUUAAUUUUUUUGGUUUUUCAAAUACAAAAUGGUAAUUAAUAUAGCAAAAGACUCGAUAUUACUUUACAAGACUGGAAAGUAAAAGACAACAUGAAUGACAGACUUAAAACAUAAAAGUAUUUAUAAGUAGCUCCUAAAUGCAGUGGUCCUGGGGUAUUUGUCAUGCUCGAGCUCUGGUACACUGAUCUAUACCUGAAUGAGAAAAAUAAGACCAAAAAGAGUUAUCGACUCAAGACACUAUGCGACACCACAACACCUCCUAUAGGACACAUGCAAGACGCGAUUGGGCUAUUUGUAAAAAUUAACUUAUGUGGCCAAGAGUGGCUAAAAGUGUAAACUCAACAAGAUUGACCUCAUAGACAUGGGAAAUGCCUCACUAAGGCUUUUAUGGAUUCAAAAUCCCAAUAAUCAUGGCCCAAAAUUAAUUUGCAAAAAUGAUCCAUUUUGCAGAAACGGCCGAUAUGGCCAGAAGUGGAUAAAGAUGCAAACUCAAUAAGGAUGGACCUUAAAGUAAUAUGACACCUAGUUGUGGACUCAAGAUCAUAAGACAUGGGUCAUUGAACUACUUUUGCGCAAAUGACCCCAUUUUUGCAAGAAUGGCCGAUGUGGCCAAAAUUGGCUAGACAUGCAAGAUUUGGCUAAGACCCCGCGGAGCCAAGAACCUAAGACUUACUAGGAAGACCAGACCCUAUGUGAGUUGCCUACGUAUCCUGCCCCAAAAGACGAGAAUCAGGUUCGUGUAGUUCGGGAAGAUUGGAUAUGGGAAAGAAAUUAAAAAAACUAAUUUUGAGAAAACAUAUUUUGUCUUUUUUGAAAAAAUGAUAGAAAAUAUAAAUUCUUUUUGGAUUUUUUUUAAUUUUUUUGGAAAGGAUGAGAAAGUGCAAAAUCUUUUUGGAUUUUUCAUUUUUUUUUGGGGUCUUUGCUUGAAAAAGUGGUGAAAGAAAAAUAUAACUAGCCCCUACUUGCUUCAUAUUAUACUUCACCCUCUUUUCUUUCUCAUUUACCCUCAACCAUCAUUGGUCCGCCAAAUGACCCAUUUACCCUUAAAAAAUGCAGCAUAUAGCACAUAGAGAUGAUUAAAUGUCUUUUUGGGCCAUGUGCCCAUUUUGACAUAAUUUGGAUAGGCCUCCUAUAAAGGGACACGGUGCCCGGAACCGAGCCCUACUAGGUUUAAAUGAUAUGAUGCAAAUAAGCAUAAAGGCUGACCUAAGCUUGGGGUUCACUAGGCAAGGCAAUUCGGGGCGGCACGUGGUCGAUGGUGGCUGCUCUAGCUGUCCGCCCACUCCACGCUCCCAUGCCACCCUUCUAAAGACACGGGUGACUUACAAAAGGUCGUGUACGCUCAAACAUACUCCGGAAGACAUGUUGCAGAAAAAAGACCCAGGGUUAUGCAAAUGAUGACAGUUUAUAAAGCAGUAACACAUAAGGAAACGCGAUAAACAAAUAACUAGCAAAACAGGAAAUAAGCCAAACAAACAAACUAAAAAAAAUAAAGAAAACAAACACCUCAACCGAAUAUUCUAAAAGCCAACAAGAUCAAGUAUCAGCUCGAACCUGCAGUUCCCUAGCAGAGUCGCUAGAGCUGUCACAUCCCUUUUUCAUGCCUCACUAACCCUCUUAUAAAUAAUAAAAGUGAUUUGUAAAGCUCAAAAGGGUUUUCAAUUUGAAAGUGACAAAAAAUUGUGUUCAAAAGGAUUUUUCAGAGUCACCAUUUGACAUUGGUUUCGGUGUGUCAGGUCACCAUUUUGUAAAAAAAUGAUUUUUCCGUUUUAAAACACUUUGGACUCCAAAGCUGAGUCUGCAUCAUAGAUUUGGGUAAGGAGGUUCAUUUGACCUGGGGAAAAGGUGUUAGGCAUUCCCUGAGUCUCGUAACUAGUACGGUUGCGUACUUGACCUAGUCGACUUUUAAAAUAUUCGAAUUGAGGUAACACUACACAAAAGAAGACAACCACAAAAGAAGGCUCGAUGUCGUCUCACCUAAUAAAAAAAUGAAAAUAAAAAUAAAAAUAAAAUAAUAAGAGUUCUACUUUCGGCCUCCAAAUACAAAUACUUCGGGGCAUACCCCGAAUAAAAUAUAUACAAAUUUUGUAGGGCAUUCCCCGGAUAAUAAACUAAGAGAAACGACCUCGAGCCUCAAAUAAAAAUGAACUAAAGAAAAUCUAAGAUUUGCCUACCCAAGUGUGGUCGGCCUAGAACAUGCUCCUAGCGGGUGGCAUAAUAAUAAAAGUAAUUGAUAAUAGAUAAUAAAUAAACAGAAGAGAACAAACUAAGAGAAAAAUUCAACUCAUUCUCCAAUUGAAUUGAUUCCUUUUAACCUAACCCCACGUCUCAUUGCCAACAAAUUAGACCAAACAAGUAUGGCAUCUAAAUACAUGUGUUUCAUAAAGAAUAUCAAAAAAGAUAAGAUAAAGUUUAAGCAGCCAAAUACUCUAAAUGAAGAUCAAUUGCUGCAACCUAUUAUUGAUUUAAACUAAUUUAACCCCAAGAGUCCUCGCCUUGUCUUAAUUCAAUUCAUAUGGCCCAUUUCUAGUAAUUCUAAUCUAUACUCAUCAGAGUUCUACUCAUAAAUAUUUUUCAUCCACUAAUUCAUACUUGUAUUUAGCACAUCCAAAUAAUUAAGAAGGAAGCAUCAUAUCAUUCCAUCCUAACAUAUGAAAAUAAUAAGCACAAAUAGAAGAGAAAGAGACAAGAUGGACUUGAGCAAACUUUCCCUUUUCGAUUUGAUUAAAAUUGAUCCCACAAACAAUGAAGCUCAAUCCACGAUUUGAGAAAUAAACAGGGAUAAAAACGGUAACAAUGAACCCAAAAUAAGAAACAUAUCAGCGACACCAAGCGAAACGUUGAACGAUGACCUCAAAUGUUUCCAACACCCCAGCUCCAAUACAACUUAGCAAAAAAGGAUUUCAAAUCGUCUAAUCGGCUCUUCGUCAUCUCUGUAAUUUGUUGUUCUUUUUAUUUAUCUUUUUGGCUGUGUGGGUGGGUGGUGCCGACGAUUUUGGAUGGUGUAUGGCUGAUAGGAGUAUUGAUUGAGGGUGGAGGUUGGUUCAUUUUUGGCAUGAUGGGCGACUGGGAGGGGUCCGGCUGGUUGUGGUUGUUGGUGUUCUGAUUGAAGAAGAAGAAGAAGAAGAAAGGGGUCAGCAGUUGUUGUUGUUGGAGAAAAUGGAGAUGGCGUGAGGGAGAUGGGGUUUUCGCUGGUUUGGUGAGAGGUCCAGAAGCAGCGGCAGCUAUGGAGGGGUUCUUGGUACAGCUGGUCCGGCGGCUGUGAGGGUUCAGAGGUGAUGAGGGGUCUGCGACUGUUAGAACUCUAGGCGGGGCCGUCUAAAAAUGGAGGGACGGUUGGAGAUUUUUGGGUGUGUGGAAUUAGGGUUCAGCUAGGGGUCUUCUAGUGUGUGCACCCUCAAGUUGAAGAAGAAGGUGUCCUUCUAGGUUAUAGUUAGGUCUGAU
rnacentral:lncRNA from 1 species